rnacentral:rRNA from 1 species
GACGAACGCUGGCGGCGUGCUUAACACAUGCAAGUCGAACGGAAAGGCCCUGCUUUUGUGGGGUGCUCGAGUGGCGAACGGGUGAGUAACACGUGAGUAACCUGCCCUUGACUUUGGGAUAACUUCAGGAAACUGGGGCUAAUACCGGAUAGGAGCUCCUGCUGCAUGGUGGGGGUUGGAAAGUUUCGGCGGUUGGGGAUGGACUCGCAGCUUAUCAGCUUGUUUGUGGGGUAGUGGCUUACCAAGGCUUUGACGGGUAGCCGGCCUGAGAGGGUGACCGGCCACAUUGGGACUGAGAUACGGCCCAGACUCCUACGGGAGGCAGCAGUGGGGAAUAUUGCACAAUGGGCGGAAGCCUGAUGCAGCAACGCCGCGUGCGGGAUGACGGCCUUCGGGUUGUAAACCGCUUUCGCCUGUGACGAAGCGUGAGUGACGGUAAUGGGUAAAGAAGCACCGGCUAACUACGUG